AUUGCCACUUUCUGCAGCCAGAUAAGCUCUGAUGAGAACAGCUGCCCCUGGGAGAGUGUUAAGAACCAAACCGAAAGCAAGCUGGUUUCCUGGGCAGCAGGCACCAGGCCUAGUCUAGGGUUUGUAGUCCCCACUGCAGCCGGGGCCUGUGGUGUGCUGAGUCACCACCCUAGAAGCCCUCAGUGGGGUUUUUCCAUAACUUUGAGGUUUGGAAAUGUCCCAGGCUCUCCUGCUCUAGUUGGAAUCUCAUCUCUGGCGUUCCCAGAGGCUUUCUGCCCUCUCUGGGAAACAGCUGCUCAAAGACAGAAAGGCUGGGAAUGGAGCCCCAGGCCUUGCAUACACAAGAGACAUUAGCUACACAGAGGAGGCUCUAGGAGAGACCAGGAAAGAAGAGUUCUGUUUCGGGGAGGAUUGCUCUCACAAGUCAGAUAAAGAAGAAGGAUCCACAGAGGAGGGUGUCUCAGCUUCAACA